rnacentral:siRNA from 1 species
AAACGUCCUGAUUGGUAUGU